GGUUAAGCGACUAAGCGUACACGGUGGAUGCCCUGGCAGUCAGAGGCGAUGAAGGACGUGCUAAUCUGCGAAAAGCGUCGGUAAGGUGAUAUGAACCGUUAUAACCGGCGAUGUCCGAAUGGGGAAACCCAGUGCAAUUCGUUGCACUAUCGUUAACUGAAUACAUAGGUUAACGAGGCGAACCGGGGGAACUGAAACAUCUAAGUACCCCGAGGAAAAGAAAUCAACCGAGAUUCCCCCAGUAGCGGCGAGCGAACGGGGAGCAGCCCAGAGUCUGAAUCAGCUUGUGUGUUAGUGGAACGGUCUGGAAAGUCCGACGGUACAGGGUGAUAGUCCCGUACACCAAAAUGCACAGGCUGUGAACUCGAAGAGUAGGGCGGGACACGUGGUAUCCUGUCUGAAUAUGGGGGGACCAUCCUCCAAGGCUAAAUACUCCUGACUGACCGAUAGUGAACCAGUACCGUGAGGGAAAGGCGAAAAGAACCCCGGCGAGGGGAGUGAAAAAGAACCUGAAACCGUGUACGUACAAGCAGUGGGAGCACCUUCGGGUGUGACUGCGUACCUUUUGUAUAAUGGGUCAGCGACUUAUAUUCUGUAGCAAGGUUAACCGUAUAGGGGAGCCGCAGGGAAACCGAGUCUUAACUGGGCGUUAAGUUGCAGGGUAUAGACCCGAAACCCGGUGAUCUAGCCAUGGGCAGGUUGAAGGUUGGGUAACACUAACUGGAGGACCGAACCGACUAAUGUUGAAAAAUUAGCGGAUGACUUGUGGCUGGGGGUGAAAGGCCAAUCAAACCGGGAGAUAGCUGGUUCUCCCCGAAAGCUAUUUAGGUAGCGCCUCGUGAACUCAUCUUCGGGGGUAGAGCACUGUUUCGGCUAGGGGGUCAUCCCGACUUACCAACCCGAUGCAAACUACGAAUACCGAAGAAUGUUAUCACGGGAGACACACGGCGGGUGCUAACGUCCGUCGUGAAGAGGGAAACAACCCAGACCGCCAGCUAAGGUCCCAAAGUCAUGGUUAAGUGGGAAACGAUGUGGGAAGGCACAGACAGCCAGGAUGUUGGCUUAGAAGCAGCCAUCAUUUAAAGAAAGCGUAAUAGCUCACUGGUCGAGUCGGCCUGCGCGGAAGAUGUAACGGGGCUAAACCAUGCACCGAAGCUGCGGCAGCGACACUAUGUGUUGUUGGGUAGGGGAGCGUUCUGUAAGCCUGCGAAGGUGUGCUGUGAGGCAUGCUGGAGGUAUCAGAAGUGCGAAUGCUGACAUAAGUAACGAUAAAGCGGGUGAAAAGCCCGCUCGCCGGAAGACCAAGGGUUCCUGUCCAACGUUAAUCGGGGCAGGGUGAGUCGACCCCUAAGGCGAGGCCGAAAGGCGUAGUCGAUGGGAAACAGGUUAAUAUUCCUGUACUUGGUGUUACUGCGAAGGGGGGACGGAGAAGGCUAUGUUAGCCGGGCGACGGUUGUCCCGGUUUAAGCAUGUAGGCUGAUUGUCCAGGCAAAUCCGGAUAAUCAAGGCUGAGGUGUGAUGACGAGGCACUACGGUGCUGAAGUAACAAAUGCCCUGCUUCCAGGAAAAGCCUCUAAGCAUCAGGUAACAUCAAAUCGUACCCCAAACCGACACAGGUGGUCAGGUAGAGAAUACCAAGGCGCUUGAGAGAACUCGGGUGAAGGAACUAGGCAAAAUGGUGCCGUAACUUCGGGAGAAGGCACGCUGGUGUGUAGGUGAAGUCCCUGCGGAUGGAGCUGAGACCAGUCGAAGAUACCAGCUGGCUGCAACUGUUUAUUAAAAACACAGCACUGUGCAAACACGAAAGUGGACGUAUACGGUGUGACGCCUGCCCGGUGCCGGAAGGUUAAUUGAUGGGGUUAUCCGUAAGGAGAAGCUCUUGAUCGAAGCCCCGGUAAACGGCGGCCGUAACUAUAACGGUCCUAAGGUAGCGAAAUUCCUUGUCGGGUAAGUUCCGACCUGCACGAAUGGCGUAAUGAUGGCCAGGCUGUCUCCACCCGAGACUCAGUGAAAUUGAACUCGCUGUGAAGAUGCAGUGUACCCGCGGCAAGACGGAAAGACCCCGUGAACCUUUACUAUAGCUUGACACUGAACAUUGAGCCUUGAUGUGUAGGAUAGGUGGGAGGCUUUGAAGCGUGGACGCCAGUCUGCGUGGAGCCAACCUUGAAAUACCACCCUUUAAUGUUUGAUGUUCUAACGUUGGCCCCUGACCGGGGUUGCGGACAGUGUCUGGUGGGUAGUUUGACUGGGGCGGUCUCCUCCCAAAGCGUAACGGAGGAGCACGAAGGUUAGCUAAUCCUGGUCGGACAUCAGGAGGUUAGUGCAAUGGCAUAAGCUAGCUUGACUGCGAGCGUGACGGCGCGAGCAGGUGCGAAAGCAGGUCAUAGUGAUCCGGUGGUUCUGAAUGGAAGGGCCAUCGCUCAACGGAUAAAAGGUACUCCGGGGAUAACAGGCUGAUACCGCCCAAGAGUUCAUAUCGACGGCGGUGUUUGGCACCUCGAUGUCGGCUCAUCACAUCCUGGGGCUGAAGUAGGUCCCAAGGGUAUGGCUGUUCGCCAUUUAAAGUGGUACGCGAGCUGGGUUUAGAACGUCGUGAGACAGUUCGGUCCCUAUCUGCCGUGGGCGCUGGAGAAUUGAGGGGGGCUGCUCCUAGUACGAGAGGACCGGAGUGGACGCAUCACUGGUGUUCGGGUUGUCAUGCCAAUGGCACUGCCCGGUAGCUAAAUGCGGAAGAGAUAAGUGCUGAAAGCAUCUAAGCACGAAACUUGCCCCGAGAUGAGUUCUCCCUGAGACUUUAAGUCUCCUGAAGGAACGUUAAAGACGAUGACGUUGAUAGGCCGGGUGUGUAAGCGCAGCGAU
rnacentral:rRNA from 1 species